rnacentral:rRNA from 1 species
GAUGAACGCUGGCGGCGUGCUUAACACAUGCAAGUCGAACGGAAAGGCCCAAGCUUGCUUGGGUACUCGAGUGGCGAACGGGUGAGUAACACGUGGGUGAUCUGCCCUGCACUUCGGGAUAAGCCUGGGAAACUGGGUCUAAUACCGGAUAGGACCACAUUUUGGAUGGUGUGGUGGAAAGUUUUUCGGUGUGGGAUGAGCUCGCGGCCUAUCAGCUUGUUGGUGGGGUAAUGGCCUACCAAGGCGUCGACGGGUAGCCGGCCUGAGAGGGUGUACGGCCACAUUGGGACUGAGAUACGGCCCAGACUCCUACGGGAGGCAGCAGUGGGGAAUGUUGCACAAUGGGCGCAAGCCUGAUGCAGCGACGCCGCGUGGGGGAUGACGGCCUUCGGGUUGUAAACUCCUUUCGCUAGGGACGAAGCGUUAUGUGACGGUACCUGGAGAAGAAGCACCGGCUAACUACGUG